CCCCACUGCUAUCGGGAUGGGACUAAGACAUGCUAGUCGAGCGUCUCCAAGCUAUGGAAGAGACGCGGCACACAGCUCAGUAACACGUGGCUAACCUGCCCUUGGGACAAGGACAACUCCGGGAAACUGGGGCUAAUCCCUGAUAAGUGAGAACUCCUGGAAUGGAUUCUCGCUCAAAGGACGUUUAGACCAUGCUUCUAGGCGUCGCCCAAGGAGGGGGCCGCGACCGAUCAGGUUGUUGGUGAGGUAACGGCUCACCAAGCCUUUAACCGGUACGGGCCGUGAGAGCGGAAGCCCGGAGAUGGGCACUGAGACAAGGGCCCAGGCCCUACGGGGCGCAGCAGUCGCGAAAACUCCGCAAUACACGAAAGUGUGACGGGGCUAUCCCGAGUGCCAUCCGCUGAGGGUGGCUUUUCCCCAGUGUAUAAAGCUGGGGGAAUAAGGAGAGGGCAAGCCUGGUGUCAGCCGCCGCGGUAAUACCAGCUCUCCGAGUGGUGGGGAUGUUUAUUGGGCCUAAAGCAUUCGUAGCCUGCUUGGCAAGUCCUCCGUUAAAUCCAACGAUUCAAUCGUUGGGCUGCGGGGGAUACUGUCCAGCUAGGGGGCGGGAGAGGCCGACGGUAUCCCCGGGGUAGGGGUGAAAUCCUAUAAUCCCGGGAGGACCACCAGUGGCGAAGGCUGUCGGCUAGAACGCGCUCGACGGUGAGGGAUGAAAGCUGGGGGAGCGAACCGGAUUAGAUACCCGGGUAGUCCCAGCUGUAAACGAUGCAGGCUAGGUGUUGGCGCGGCUACGUGCCGCUCCAGUGCCGCAGGGAAGCCGUUAAGCCUGCCGCCUGGGAAGUACGGCCGCAAGGCUGAAACUUAAAGGAAUUGGCGGGGGAGCACCACAAGGUGUGAAGCUUGCGGUUUAAUUGGAUUCAACGCCGGG
rnacentral:rRNA from 1 species